GACGAACGCUGGCGGCGUGCUUAACACAUGCAAGUCGAACGGAAAGGCCCUGCUUUUGUGGGGUGCUCGAGUGGCGAACGGGUGAGUAACACGUGAGUAACCUGCCCUUGACUUUGGGAUAACUUCAGGAAGCUGGGGCUAAUACCGGAUAGGAGCUCCUGCUGCAUGGUGGGGGUUGGAAAGUUUCGGCGGUUGGGGAUGGACUCGCGGCUUAUCAGCUUGUUGGUGGGGUAGUGGCUUACCAAGGCUUUGACGGGUAGCCGGCCUGAGAGGGUGACCGGCAAAAUGGGGACUGGGAUACGGCCCAGACUCCUACGGGAGGCAGCAGUGGGGAAUAUUGCACAAUGGGCGGAAGCCUGAUGCAGCAACGCCGCGUGCGGGAUGACGGCCUUCGGGUUGUAAACCGCUUUCGCCUGUGACGAAGCGUGAGUGACGGUAAUGGGUAAAGAAGCACCGGCUAACUACGU
rnacentral:rRNA from 1 species